rnacentral:rRNA from 1 species
UACGUAGGGGGCAAGCGUUGUCCGGAUUUAUUGGGCGUAAAGAGCGUGUAGGCGGCUUUGCAAGUCCGUUGUGAAAACUCGAGGCUCAACCUCGGGACGCCGGUGGAAACUGCAAAGCUAGAGUCCGGAAGAGGAGAGUGGAAUUCCUGGUGUAGCGGUGAAAUGCGCAGAUAUCAGGAGGAACACCUGCGGUGUAGACGGCUUACUGGACCAUAACUGACGCUGAGGCACGAAAGCGUGGGUAGCAAACAGG